UUUAGUAAAAUAAAUGCAUACUUUGUAUAGGGAAUGAAAGGUUUAACAAAAAACAGAGUGACGAUAUAAUAUAUGUAAAUAAGAUUAUAAAUAAGAAUAUAAAUAAAAACAUUGUUAUGAUUGCUGCUUGCGAUCUAAAUCGCUGCAGCUUUGUUGGCGCUUGCAUGUGUGUGCCGACGAAGAACUAAUUAGUUCGAAGGACCACCUUCGUUCAGGGAAAAGAAAACAGUGUAUGUGGUUAACUAUUUAAUAGAACUAUUUACGCAAUACUGAGAGCUGCUCAGUAAUCGUAUCUAAUAUUGCGCGUAACUAUUCUGUAUAAACUAUCUUGCGCGAGUGUUCUAACUAUUCGAUGUAUGGAUGAUUCUAAAUUAACAAAGUUCAACCGUUCGAGUCGUUCUGAUUGCUUCGACUUCUCCCUUUCACAGCCAAUUUCAAGGAGGAGUGAAAACCGAGCGCAAGCAAUGUCGUAUUUAAUGGACAUUGUUUUGGUAACCUUGGAGAUUUCCACGAUUGCGUUAGUUUAUGGUCACCGAGGACUGUUACGGCCAGAUAUACGUAUAUAAUGGGAAAAACCAUUAACUGUGAGGCCUGAGUUGCUAUAAACGCACGUGAAUAGUUACUAAUUACUCGGAGACCCGAUGACCAACUAUCGGUAAUUAAUAACACAGGAGUUUGUAACAAAGAAAUCUUAAUGGAUAGACAGGAUAACAUCAACAGACAUUCACUUUCCAAGGGGGAUAGAAACUUAAACACUUAUAAAAUUGAACAUAUUUGUUGGCGUAAAUAUUUAUUGUAAAAAAUAUAGCAAUUUCGCAGGAAGAAUAAAGAUAGUACAAUUAAAAUGAUGCAAAUUUAAUGAGAACGCCGAAGAUUACAUUGCGAUAUAUACAAAAUGAGUUUAAUUUAAUCGAUAAUGAUAAAUGAAAUCGUAAGAAACAUGAAUAAUUGGGUGCUAUUGUUGAUCGUGUAUGCUAUAUACAUGUACGCAACAUAAAAAAUAUCCUACUUAGAAUUUAAGAGGCUAAUGUAACAAAAUCUUAUUAUCUGUACUUCUUCUGGUUGGAAGACGUACCAAAUAAUAAAAUAAUAUAUUUGUAUAAUUGUUUCGUUGCAUACAUACGAUUAGAAUUGUAACCCUGACGUAAGAAGAUUUCAACGAAUUAAAAAAAUUCUCUGCUUUCACGAUGGUGAUACAUUGAAGCACAUAGAGUUUAAUAAGCGGCUUAAUAACUGUAUCCUAUGUAUAUCCCUAUACAAAUAUCUCUAUAGCGUUUACGUAUCAAUAAACUGUAAAUAUUAACAUGUAACAGUAUAAAACUGUUUCUCUGCAGCAAACAUCAUAUUUUUUUGCUACUUUUCCUCGAUUUUUAUCACGCUUAAUGGUAUUUUAUUUCUAUGCAUAACAAAUAUGGCUGCGGUUGGCGAAAACACUCAAAAGUAAACCGCAGACCAUGUUCUAUGAUUAAAUAUAAACAAUACACCGUACAAUCUACAGAAAAGACUACCAGUCUCUUCGUAAUCUGCUCGAUAGCAGUACAUAAUUAAAAUGAUAUAAACGUUUAAGUAAAUAAAUGUUAGGCGGGAUUUUUAAGAAGAAGAUAACAGUUUAUACACCUGCCGCGAUAACCGAAAGCAAAAAUUACAUAGGAAGAAAUUAGUAUUAUGAAAAGAACUUCGUAGAAAAUGUUUCCUAUGUGAAAAAAAUAUUUGUUUAAGCGUUAGUUAAUAUCUGUUCAACGUAAUAUAGAUUAUACGAUAAGUUACAACGUUAAAUAUGUAGAAAAUAUCGAUAAUGAAGUUUUCAUUUAAUGAGAGUAAUCCAAAUUAUUUAACGAUAUCACCGUAAUCGUUUCUUUUCUAUUAAAUACAGUACGAGAAAAAGAAAAAAAAAAGAGAAGAAAUAGAAUAUUCAUACAACGAUCUCACACGAUUUAGACAAAAUAGGUUUCCUAUAUAGUUUAAUUUACAUUUAAAAAUUACGUUAGAAAAAACAAAUUUGACCUGUAGUAAUACAAGUCACACGGAGACGCGAAUUUCCCGAUUCGUCCAGUGUAGUUAUAAUGCAAUCACUUUUCUCUAUUAGUGUUUGAUAAGUAUAAAAUAUAUAAAUUUCUGCUACCUCUGUAUAUCUUGUCAUAUUUAUCAUCACGUAGAGCUAGCAUGUAACCGUUGUUUUUUAAUUUUCUAUUAUAUAACCAUUAUAUGAUGUAUUAUAUAAAUAUUUUAUAAACGUAGUAGUAAUGUUACAUUAUUUACAAACAUAUGAUUGAAGUCUGCUUAGAGAUUGAGAACUUAAUAAUCUGAAAUAUUUUCCCUUGCAUUUUGUGUUUAUUUGAAAUCCGAAUUUAAUGUAACAAUUUGGGUUUGCAUUAUUACUUUCAUUAAAAAAAAAAAAAAAAAAAAA